rnacentral:rRNA from 1 species
UACGUAGGGUGCGAGCGUUGUCCGGAAUUAUUGGGCGUAAAGAGCUCGUAGGCGGUGUGUCGCGUCGGCCGUGAAAACCUGGGGCUCAACUCUGGGCGUGCGGUCGAUACGGGCAUCACUUGAGUUCGGCAGGGGAGACUGGAAUUCCUGGUGUAGCGGUGAAAUGCGCAGAUAUCAGGAGGAACACCGAUGGCGAAGGCAGGUCUCUGGGCCGAUACUGACGCUGAGGAGCGAAAGCAUGGGGAGCGAACAGG